rnacentral:rRNA from 1 species
AGUGAGCGCUGGCGGUAGGCCUAACACAUGCAAGUCGAACGGCAGCACAGUAAGAGCUUGCUCUUACGGGUGGCGAGUGGCGGACGGGUGAGGAAUACAUCGGAAUCUACUUUUUCGUGGGGGAUAACGUAGGGAAACUUACGCUAAUACCGCAUACGACCUACGGGUGAAAGCAGGGGAUCUUCGGACCUUGCGCGAUUGAAUGAGCCUAUGUCGGAUUAGCUAGUUGGCGGGGUAAAGGCCCACCAAGGCGACGAUCCGUAGCUGGUCUGAGAGGAUGAUCAGCCACACUGGAACUGAGACACGGUCCAGACUCCUACGGGAGGCAGCAGUGGGGAAUAUUGGACAAUGGGCGCAAGCCUGAUCCAGCCAUACCGCGUGGGUGAAGAAGGCCUUCGGGUUGUAAAGCCCUUUUGUUGGGAAAGAAAAGCAGCAGGUUAAUACCCCGCUGUUCUGACGGUACCCAAAGAAUAAGCACCGGCUAACUUCGUG